GUAAAAACAUGACAAUAAGCUGUAAAGGAUUUUUUUUCCUUGGUCUUGAGCACUGCCUUGCAGACUCCCCAGAGCCCCUGGAAGUUUGUCCAGGCUCCAGAAAGCAUCCUCUGAGUGAUAUACUUGCUUCCUAAGCCUUAAAUUAUCUAAAGCUUGAAACAGGGGAAACAUGUGCCCAGCAACUGUGUUAGAUCAGCAGCAACAGAAAAACGACAAGGGCUCUAAAGCUUUUCUCUUGCUCUCACUUACUGGGCUCUGUUAAAUUCUCACACUUUGCUGUUCUGUCUCCUGUGCAGUUUUUUCAUCGGCUGAGAAUUUGGUCCCAGAAGUGCCCGAGUGCUUACACAUGAAUUGUGUCUUAUUCACCAUCUCAUCAGAGACUGAUAACAGCUUCAGAGAGAUCUCAAUGCCUAUGAAGAAAAACAUGGAAAGGCCAGACCUAGUGGGGAAUAAGGAACAAAAACGUUGCACCAAAGGCCAAAGAGCAAGUGCCAUCAACUUCAGUCAAAGAAUAGAGAGUGUUCCUGCUUCCCACCGGCAGUGUUGGUAAACAAAGGCUUUCAAAUCCAGGCAACCUGAAACAACAGAUUUGAAAUUCAAGAGGUAUAAAAUUUCCCCCAAAGCCUCGAAACUCUCCCUGGGUGUUUCAGGGUUUGGCAGGGUUUGUUGCUGUGGAGCAAAGUGAGGAUGGGAGCAGAGUCUCUGGGAGAGACUGCAACUUGUUGCCCAGAAGGAAAAAUAGCACAAAGAAAGGACAGAGCAGACAGAGACCAAAGAAAAACAGAAGAUUAAAAUAAGAACACCAAGGACAGGAACAUGCUAAAAGCAAACAUAUAUUCACUGAACAGACAAACUAAACGGUCACAUUUGAUCCAUGAUCUUUCUGUAAAAGCUUCGUUCAGUGUGGGCAGAAGAGUCAGCCUGUGGAGAAUGACGGGAAUGCAAAGUCGUUAAGGUAGGUCCUGGGCUGAAGUCUGUAAUUACACAUGGACCCUCCACAGGCAGAGUUUGAAACACAAGCCUCAGAGCUCUCUAAGCUAAACAUUUACUGAAGAAUGAGGGAGGACAAAAACAUCUAUUAAGAUGCAGCUUUGAUGCCUUUUUUGGAUGCUUUUUUUUUUUUUUUUUUUUUGAUGUCUGACCUAAUGGUCUUCUUUCUGUGCCCUGACGCUACCGGGGACUUCACGCUCCUGUUUCCCUGCCACCUCUGUAACUCCUCAUCCUGCACCAUGGGGGCAAAGCAGGGUUCAGGGUCUCCCAUACCGGCUGUCCUCAUGCUCACAGCAAACGGGAUGAGAAGAGAGGAGGAUUUGCAAGGUUGGAUCAAGUACUUUUCUGCACUAAACACCUGCUAGGAGGUAAUGAAGCCUUUUCCCCACACCUGGGGGCCUUCUGGGAUGAUGAGCACAAAGGAUGGGAGCAGGGGAACACAAGCGGUUCUCCCAGGCUGUGAAGUUACAGGUGGCAAACUGAGCAGCGGCACAAGGGCAAGUGACUUCUCCGAGGUCAUGCAGCAAGUCCAUGGCGGUUCUGAAAGAGAAGCCCAGACUUCCCACCUCCUCCCAUUCACAGUAAUCUCCCUCUUCAGCUUGGAUGUCAAACGCUGUCUUGAUAGGUGGCUGCAGCAUGACAACCCCUGUAAAUCUCCUCUGGAUUUUAUUAGCUAUCUUGCUUUCAAGCCUGCCUGCAUUACUUAUCAGCAGCUUUCAGGAUGAAUGGCCUGUGAGUCCCCACCGGCAGAUGAUGGGAAGGAAGAUAAAGACACACACUCAAGUAGGAUCAGCUAACCGCUGCUGCUGCCUGCAUAGUGCUGCUACCGCUCCCGAACCAAGCGGCAAAAGCAGCUUUCAAAAUGUGGUGGGAGAGGUAACUCAGGCUCCAGCUGAUUUCAUAGUAAUGUCAUUUCUCUAAGACAUUCCCUUCUACAGUGCUAAAUGAAAGAAAAACCAAUCUGUUAUGAGGGAAAAAGCAGGAAGUCAAUUGAAAUCAGUGGGGUUUUGUUAGAAGCAUUGCUAUGUAGUGCCUCUUCCUGCGGGGCUUCUUGCACGAGCCACCCCUGUGGCUCUCAAAUUUGAAGCCGAUAUGGUAAACUAAAAGCUGUAGAAAUGUUCUGAAUUUGAUGGAAGUCCCUGAUGAGGUUUGCAGGAGCACAUAUAUGAAGCUGUGACUGUCUCCAAAACUCGGUGUUUAUGGACACACCACAUUUAGUUUCAGGAAUCUUCCUUGCUUUGUUUGGACGAAAUCGUAUUUGUUUUCAGUUAAGAAUUCAGCAGCUGAACUCAAGAUCCUAUUGGGCGUGCACAAGGAAAGGCUGACGACGUCUUAGAGAGACGCUGGCCUAAACACGCUGAGACAAAGUUAGCAGAUCUUACUUCUUCCCCAUUAGCACCGUUUUGGCUUAGGAUUGUGUCCUCUGCCAAGCACAGCUGAUAUGCGGAGUGGUUUGCUGUUGCAGCAAGUUAUUUACUGAUUUCCCUCCAGAGAGCUUGAUGGAGAGCCUGGGUGGGAUCUUCCCCAAUAGUGAAGUACAGCCUUCCCUAAUAAAUUCAACA